rnacentral:lncRNA from 1 species
UUUCUCAUUUUGUUACCUCUUCCUUCUCGCCCCCGUCUCUCGUUCUCUCUCUUCUUUCCUCCCGUCUCUCCUUCUCUCUCUUUUCUUUUUAUCCAGAAUAGUUGUCAGAAUAUUUGGCGAUUUCUCAGGGAGAACGGUUGGUCGGCGGUUGUGUCAUCCUUAUCUUCUCGACGGUUACUUGAAGACGGUUUGUUAUUGUAUAGUUUUUCAUUAUAAAUAUCAUCAUCCUCAACCCCUCAUCUAAUCUAAACUAACCUUGUGCUUUAGGUUGUAAUGGUGAAAACUAAGAAUCCAGUAGACAAAACUGCCUCGAUUUCAGAUGGUCAGAAGCCUAAAGAAAACAAGCCCAAUCCUUUUGUAAAAUUCCCAUGACCAAGAUAUUCAACACUGAUGAAAGAGGCGGAAGACAGGAAGGGGGCGAAACCUGGAAAAGUGAAACCUAAGAAGAGAAAAAAGAUAUAUUCUCUAGCUGAAUCCGAAUCAAAUGUUUGUUAUUUAUGUGGAAUGUAUUAAAAUAUAUAUUUAUAUGCUUGUGUUCCAUGUAAUGAUUAGGAUCUGUAUUCAUAUGCAUGUGUUCUAUGUAAAUGAAAGGCACGAGGAGUGUAUUACUGUGUUGUAUUUGUGGAUUUUGAAUGGUACGGCUAUCCCUGUGUUUUAGGGUUUCCAUUGUUA